GAUGAACGCUGGCGGCGUGCCUAAUACAUGCAAGUCGAGCGAACAGACGAGUAUCUUGCUCCUCUGACGUUAGCGGCGGACGGGUGAGUAACACGUGGAUAACCUACCUAUAAGACUGGGAUAACUUCGGGAAACCGGUGCUAAUACCGGAUAAUAUAUUGAACCGGAGGGGUCAAUAGUGAAAGACGGUUUUGCGGUCGCUUAUAGGUGUAUCUGCGCCGCAGUAGGUAGUUGGUAAGGUAACGGCUUACCAAGGCAACGAUGGGUAGCCGACGUGUGCGGGUGAUCGGCCACACUGGAAGUGAGCCACGGUCCAGACUCCUACGGGAGGCAGCAGUAGGGAAUCGUACGCAAUGGGCGAAAGCCUGACGGAGCAACGCCGAGUGAGUGAUGACGGUCUUCGGAUCGUAAAAACCUGUUAUUAGGGAAGAACAAAUGUGUAAGUAACUAUGCACGUCUUGACGGUAACUAAUCAGAAAGCCACGGCUAACUACGUG
rnacentral:rRNA from 1 species